CCACGGAGGAGGCUGGGGUCAGCCCCACGGAGGCGGCUGG
rfam:Camelus dromedarius prion protein (PrP) gene, partial cds.